GCGAGUGUAACUCAGUUGGUAGAGUGCAACCUUGCCAAGGUUGAUGUCGCGCGUUCGAAUCGCGUCACUCGCU
rnacentral:tRNA from 1 species